rnacentral:rRNA from 1 species
GACGAACGCUGGCGGCGUGCCUAAUACAUGCAAGUCGAACGGUCUUUUCUAUGGAAGCUUGCUUCCACUGAGAAGAUAGUGGCGAACGGGUGAGUAACACGUGGGUAACCUGCCCAUAAGAGGGGGAUAACAUCCGGAAACGGGUGCUAAUACCGCAUAGUUUUCUUGAUUGCAUGAGCGAGAAAGGAAAGACGGCCUUUGUGCUUUCGCUUAUGGAUGGACCCGCGGCGUAUUAGUUAGUUGGGGAGGUAACGGCUCACCAAGACGAUGAUACGUAGCCGACCUGAGAGGGUGAUCGGCCACAUUGGGACUGAGACACGGCCCAAACUCCUACGGGAGGCAGCAGUAGGGAAUCUUCCGCAAUGGACGAAAGUCUGACGGAGCAACGCCGCGUGAGUGAAGAAGGUUUUCGGAUCGUAAAACUCUGUUGUCAGAGAAGAACAGGUUGGAGAGUAACUGCUCCAGCCUUGACGGUAUCUGACCAGAAAGCCACGGCUAACUACGUGCCAGCCGCCGCCGUAAGAC